rnacentral:rRNA from 1 species
GACGAACGCUGGCGGCGUGCUUAACACAUGCAAGUCGAACGAAGAGCGAUGGAAGCUUGCUUCUAUCAAUCUUAGUGGCGAACGGGUGAGUAACGCGUAAUCAACCUGCCCUUCAGAGGGGGACAACAGUUGGAAACGACUGCUAAUACCGCAUACGAUCUAAACUCGGCAUCGAGGAUAGAUGAAAGGUGGCCUCUACAUGUAAGCUAUCACUGAAGGAGGGGAUUGCGUCUGAUUAGCUAGUUGGAGGGGUAACGGCCCACCAAGGCGAUGAUCAGUAGCCGGUCUGAGAGGAUGAACGGCCACAUUGGGACUGAGACACGGCCCAGGCUCCUACGGGAGGCAGCAGUGGGGAAUCUUCCGCAAUGGACGAAAGUCUGACGGAGCAACGCCGCGUGAGUGAUGACGGCCUUCGGGUUGUAAAGCUCUGUUAAUCGGGACGAAAGGCCUUCUUGCGAAUAGUGAGAAGGAUUGACGGUACCGGAAUAGAAAGCCACGGCUAACUACGUG